rnacentral:misc_RNA from 1 species
AAGACAUCCAAACUUUCAGCUACUUCCUCCUUUUCUUUUCUUGAGUGAUAAAUGAUGGUCCUCUUUUCGUUCCCAAUUCUAAUUAUUCUGUGAAAAUUCUUAAAUUCCAGACACCGUAAUCAUAAAAUUUCUUCCCCAAAAAUGGCAUCUCAAUACUCCAGCGAACGCGCCUGGUUUCGAACCCGAAUCCUAACCAAUCACUUCCCUAGUUCUCCUUCUCUAUGCGUUUCUCCUCUGGAAUCGAAUGCUUGCCUAAGCUAUUCUCCUCCUGAGCUACAUGAAAGUUACGAUUUUGAUACCAACGAGAUGCGGAAAUUGCUGGACAUGCACAAUAUCGAGGAUAGGGAUUGGUUGUUUGGGUUGAUGAGGCAGAGCAAGGUGUUUAAUCCUCAAGAGAAGGGAGGGAGAGUGUAUGUUGCGCCGGAUUAUAAUCAGUCGAUGGAGCAGCAGAGGGAGAUGACGAUGAGACGGAUAGCUUAUCUGUUGGAAAGAGGAGUUUUUAAUGGAUGGUUGACAGGGAAAGGAUUAGAAUCGGAAAUGAAAAAGUUUGCUUUUUUGGAAGUUGUUGGGAUUUUUGAUCACUCCCUCUCUGUUAAGCUUGGUGUUCACUUCUUUUUGUGGGGUGGUGCUAUCAAGUUUUUUGGCACAGAGCGCCAUCAUGACAAGUGGCUGAGGGACACUGAAACUUAUGCAAUCAAGGGUUGCUUUGCUAUGUCAGAAUUGGGGCAUGGAAGUAAUGUCCGAGGAAUUGAAACUGUGACCGUUUAUGAUUCAAACACUGGGGAGUUUGUCAUCAAUACUCCUUGUGAAUCAGCUCAGAAGUAUUGGAUCGGCGGGGCUGCAAAUCAUGCGACACACACAAUAGUCUUUUCUCAGCUCAAUAUAAAUGGAUCAAAUCAAGGAGUCCAUGCGUUUAUAGCUCAGAUCAGGGAUGCAGAUGGAAACAUAUGCCCUAACAUCCGUAUAGCUGACUGUGGUCAUAAAAUUGGUUUAAAUGGUGUUGAUAAUGGUCGAAUCUGGUUUAACAAUCUGAGAAUACCCAGAGAGAAUCUGUUGAAUUCAGUUGCCGAUGUUUCAUCAGAUGGACAAUAUCUGAGUGCAAUAAAAGACCCGGAUCAGAGAUUUGCAGCUUUCUUGGCUCCUUUGACAUCUGGUCGUGUAACUAUUGCUGUUAGUGCGAUUUACUCAUCAAAGAUAAGUUUAGCAACUGCGAUAAGGUACUCAUUAACUAGGCGGGCUUUUUCUAUCACACCUAAUGGACCUGAAGUUCUAUUGCUUGAUUACCCAAGUCAUCAACGACGACUCUUGCCUCUUCUUGCAAAGACAUACGCUAUGAGUUUUGCUGGAAAUUACUUGAAAAUGAUAUACUGGAAGAGGACACCAGAGUCAAAUAAAACCCUUCAUGUUGUUUCAAGUGCAUUCAAGGCCACCUUGACCUGGCAUAAUAUGAGAACACUUCAAGUGAGGGGCUAAAAUCCUAAAUGCAAAUUUAGGUUUAUGAUAGCUUCCUAAUUAAAGUUAUUAAUUUGUUUCUAGGAAUGUCGUGAAGCUUGUGGAGGACAAGGCUUGAAGACUGAAAAUCGAGUUGGCCAUUUAAAAAGUGAAUAUGAUGUUCAGACUACCUUUGAGGGGGACAACAAUGUUCUUAUGCAGCAGGUCAGCAAGGCACUCCUUGCAGAAUAUGUAGCCACUCAGAAGAAAAAGAAACCUUUUAAGGGAUUGGGGUUAGAACACAUGAAUGAACCUUGCCCUAUAAUUCCAUCUCAACUGACAAGUACUGUUCUCAGAAGUACUCAAUUCCAGAUUGGUGCUUUCUGCUUAAGAGACCGAGAUCUUUUGAAUCGUUUUGCUGCUGAAAUAUCACAGCAUCAAGCAAAGGGUGAAAGUAAGGAGUAUGCAUUUAUUUUGGGUUAUCAACUUGCGGAAGACUUGGGCAGGGCUUUCUCAGACCGAGCAAUAUUGCAAACCUUCAUGGAGGCUGAGGCAACUGUAUCUGUGGGUCCAUUGAAGAAUGUUUUGAGUCUGUUGAGAUCAAUGUAUGCCUUAACUUGUAUGGAAGAAGAUGCUGCAUUCCUUCGGUAUGGGUACUUAUCAACAGAAAAUGCUGCUGCUGUGAGAAAAGAAGUAACAAAGCUUUGCAGCGAAGUGCGACCGCAUGCACUUGCCUUGGUCAGUUCCUUUGGCAUUCCUGAUGCUUUUCUGGGCCCUAUAGCAUAUAACUGGAUAGAUGCAAACUCUUGGUCUUCAGUUAAACACUAGUUACAGGCGUUUUGAUCUCUUCUUUUUGAGCUUCAAGUAAAAGGUCCACUCAAGUUUUAAUAAGAAGCUCUGGGGUAACACUUUACCCAAAUUGAUGUAAUGCCUGCUUAUCUGUAAAACUGCAUAUUAAUAAAGCUGCACUAUUACUUACUAAACUAUCCACUGGAUCAUAUUUAUAGAUACUGGUUAUUAAAACCCAUACAAAUGCAUACAUUGGAAUUCAGGAGCUAUAUCCACAGCAUAUAGAUGAUUGCAUUUGCAUCCAUUCCUCAGUCCAACACCUAACGGCUGAGAGUAAGCCUGUAAGUAGCCAUUUCUCUGUUGCAAAAAUUGCAGCACUGCAUUCCUGUAUGUUGCUUUGCAUCUUGCAAUUACCAAAGUCCUGCCCUUGGUAAAGGGACUG